rnacentral:rRNA from 1 species
CCUACGGGUGGCUGCAGUCGAGAAUCUUUCGCAAUGGGCGAAAGCCUGACGAAGCGACGCUGUGUGUGUGAUGAAGGCCUUAGGGUCGUAAAGCACUUUCGCCUGCGAACGAGUACCAGGUAAAGAAGCACCGGCUAACUACGUGCCAGCAGCUGCGGUAAUACGUAGGGUGCAAGCAUUAAUCGGAUUUAUUGGGCGUAAAGGGCGCGUAGGCGGGGGUGCCAGUCAAUUGUGAAAUCCCGGAGCUCAACUCCGGAACUGCAGUUGAAACUACAUCCCUAGAGGGUAGACGGAGAAAACGGAAUUCCACAAGUAGCGGUGAAAUGCGUAGAUAUGUGGAAGAACACCGGUGGCGAAGGCGGUUUUCUAGUUUACCUGACGCUGAGGCGCGAAAGCAAGGGGAGCAAACAGGAUUAGAUACCCUUGUAGUC